AAGAAGGACUGAAAGAUGCAUUUCUGGAGAAAAACAUUCUCGGGUUGCCCAGUGUGUUUUCCAGUCGCAAUAAAGAGGCACAGAUACUGAUUAUGAGUGUCUGAGUAAGCAGGUGCCCCUGGCACAUAAUACAACCAGUCCCCAAGCUGCACUCACAACCAGGAAGAGAAAUGGUGUUCUCAUUGAAGCUGAUACCGAACUCAGACUCAGGCCUUUACCCCAGACAAGAGAUCCAUCGACUUUUCUGUGGAAUCUGCUCCAGCCAAGAAGACAGGAGAGCAGGACAGCCAAGGGAGUACCCAAACUCAACAACGCAGCUGGAUGGCCCUUCUCUAAAGCUCAGCUACCAUGCUCCAUUCACAUGCAUAGAUCUCUAUCAAAGUCGGGGUUGAUCUAAGGUCGUCAGAAAACAAUCACAGAUUAUCAGAUAGCUGAGGAAAACCUCUAAUAAGAAAGACAGAGGCCAAAUAAAAAAAAAAAUAGAAAAAAA